rnacentral:rRNA from 1 species
UACGUAGGGCGCGAGCGUUGUCCAGAUUUAUUGGGCGUAAAGAGCUCGUAGGCGGUCUGUCGCGUCGAAUGUGAAAACCCGGGGCUCAACUCCGGGCUUGCAUUCGAUACGGGCAGGCUAGAGUUCGGUAGGGGAGUCUGGAAUUCCUGGUGUAGCGGUGAAAUGACGCAGAUAUCAGGAGGAACACCGGUGGCGAAGGCGGGACUCUGGGCCGAUACUGACGCUGAGGAGCGAAAGCGUGGGGAGCGAACAGG